rnacentral:rRNA from 1 species
AUGAACGCUGGCGGCGUGCCUAAUACAUGCAAGUCGAGCGAACGGACGAGAAGCUUGCUUCUCUGAUGUUAGCGGCGGACGGGUGAGUAACACGUGGAUAACCUACCUAUAAGACUGGGAUAACUUCGGGAAACCGUAGCUAAUACCGGAUAAUAUUUUGAACCGCAUGGUUCAAAAGUGAAAGACGGUCUUGCUGUCACUUAUAGAUGGAUCCGCGCUGCAUUAGCUAGUUGGUAAGGUAACGGCUUACCAAGGCAACGAUACAUAGCCGACCUGAGAGGGUGAUCGGCCACACUGGAACUGAGACACGGUCCAGACUCCUACGGGAGGCAGCAGUAGGGAAUCUUCCGCAAUGGGCGAAAGCCUGACGGAGCAACGCCGCGUGAGUGAUGAAGGUCUUCGGAUCGUAAAACUCUGUUAUUAGGGAAGAACAUAUGUGUAAGUAACUGUGCACAUCUUGACGGUACCUAAUCAGAAAGCCACGGCUAACUACGUG